rnacentral:rRNA from 1 species
UACGUAGGCAGCAAGCGUUGUUCGGAAUUACUGGGCGUAAAGAGGGUGUAGGCGGUGCUCUAAGUUCGGUGUGAAAUCUCCCGGCUUAACUGGGAGGGUGCGCCGGAAAUUGGAGUGCUCGAGCGUGGGAGAGGAAAGCGGAAUUCCUGGUGUAGCGGUGAAAUGCGUAGAUAUCAGGAGGAACACCUGCGGUGUAGACGGCUUUCUGGACCAUUGCUGACGCUGAGACACGAAAGCGUGGGUAGCAAACAGG